rnacentral:rRNA from 1 species
CGCGGCCUAUCAGCUUGUUGGUGGGGUAGUGGCCUACCAAGGCGACGACGGGUAGCCGGCCUGAGAGGGCGACCGGCCACACUGGGACUGAGACACGGCCCAGACUCCUACGGGAGGCAGCAGUGGGGAAUAUUGCGCAAUGGGCGAAAGCCUGGCGCAGCGACGCCGCGUGAGGGAUGACGGCCUUCGGGUUGUAAACCUCUUUCAGCAGGGACGAAGCGCAAGUGACGGUACCUGCAGAAGAAGCACCGGCUAACUACGUGCCAGCAGCCGCGGUAAUACGUAGGGUGCGAGCGUUGUCCGGAAUUAUUGGGCGUAAAGAGCUCGUAGGCGGUUUGUCGCGUCGACUGUGAAAACCUACAGCUUAACUGUGGGCUUGCAGUCGAUACGGGCAGACUUGAGUUCGGUAGGGGAGACUGGAAUUCCUGGUGUAGCGGUGAAAUGCGCAGAUAUCAGGAGGAACACCGGUGGCGAAGGCGGGUCUCUGGGCCGAUACUGACGCUGAGGAGCGAAAGCGUGGGGAGCGAACAGGAUUAGAUACCCUGGUAGUCCACGCCGUAAACGGUGGGAACUAGGUGUGGGGGACUUCCACGUCCUCCGUGCCGUAGCUAACGCAUUAAGUUCCCCGCCUGGGGAGUACGG